rnacentral:rRNA from 1 species
AGAUUGAACGCUAGCGGGAUGCCUUACACAUGCAAGUCGAACGGCAGCACGGACUUCGGUCUGGUGGCGAGUGGCGAACGGGUGAGUAAUGUAUCGGAACGUGCCUAGUAGCGGGGGAUAACUACGCGAAAGCGUAGCUAAUACCGCAUACGCCCUACGGGGGAAAGCAGGGGAUCGUAAGACCUUGCACUAUUAGAGCGGCCGAUAUCGGAUUAGCUAGUUGGUGGGGUAACGGCUCACCAAGGCGACGAUCCGUAGCUGGUUUGAGAGGACGACCAGCCACACUGGGACUGAGACACGGCCCAGACUCCUACGGGAGGCAGCAGUGGGGAAUUUUGGACAAUGGGGGAAACCCUGAUCCAGCCAUCCCGCGUGUGCGAUGAAGGUCUUCGGGUUGUAAAGCACUUUUGGCAGGAAAGAAACGUCCCGGGAUAAUACCCCGGGAAACUGACGGUACCUGCAGAAUAAGCACCGGCUAACUACGUGCCAGCAGCCGCGGUAAUACGUAGGGUGCAAGCGUUAAUCGGAAUUACUGGGCGUAAAGCGUGCGCAGGCGGUUCGGAAAGAAAGAUGUGAAAUCCCAAAGCUUAACUUUGGAACUGCAUUUUUAACUACCGAGCUAGAGUGUGUCAGAGGGAGGUGGAAUUCCGCGUGUAGCAGUGAAAUGCGUAGAUAUGCGGAGGAACACCGAUGGCGAAGGCAGCC